CCUACGGGUGUCAGCAGUGGGGAAUAUUGCACAAUGGGGGAAACCCUGAUGCAGCAACGCCGCGUGGGUGAAGGAGCGUUUCGGCGCGUAAAGCCCUGUCAGCGGGGAAGAAGAAAGACGGUACCCGACCAAGAAGCAACGGCUAACUACGUGACAGCAGCCGCGGUAAUACGGAGGGGUCGAGCGUGAUCCGGAUUUACUGGGUGUAAAGGGAGCGUAGACGGCGGGGUAAGCCUGAGGUGGAAGCCCGCGGCCCAACUGCGGAACUGCUGUGGAAACUGUUUUGCUGGAGUAUGGGUGGGGUAAGCGGAAUGGAUGGUGUAGCGGUGAAAUGCGUAGAGAUCAGGAGGAACACCGGUGGCGAAGGCGGCUUACGGGACCAUAACUGACGUUGAGGCUCGAAAGCGUGGGGAGCGAACAGGAUUAGAUACCCCAGUAGUC
rnacentral:rRNA from 1 species